rnacentral:siRNA from 1 species
UGGCUAAAGUUUUGUCCGUACA